UGCCAGACUCCUACGGGAGGCAGCAGUGGGGAAUAUUGCACAAUGGGGGAAACCCUGAUGCAGCGACGCCGCGUGAAGGAAGAAGUAUUUCGGUAUGUAAACUUCUAUCAGCAGGGAAGAAAAUGACGGUACCUGACUAAGAAGCCCCGGCUAACUACGUGCCAGCAGCCGCGGUAAUACGUAGGGGGCAAGCGUUAUCCGGAUUUACUGGGUGUAAAGGGAGCGUAGACGGCAGUGCAAGUCCGGAGUGAAAGCCCGGGGCUCAACCCUGGGACUGCUCUGGAAACUGUAAAGCUGGAGUGCGGGAGGGGCAGGCGGAAUUCCUGGUGUAGCGGUGAAAUGCGUAGAUAUCAGGAGGAACACCGGCGGCGAAGGCGGCCUGCUGGACCGUAACUGACGUUGAGGCUCGAAAGCGUGGGGAGCAAACAGGAUUAGAUACCCUCGUAA
rnacentral:rRNA from 1 species